rnacentral:pre_miRNA from 1 species
UUAGUACUCCCUCCGUCCCAAAAUUCUUGUCUUACAUUUGUCUAAAUACGAAUGUAUCAAGUCACAUUUUAGUAUUAUAUACAUCCAUAUCUAGACAAAUCUACGACAAGAAUUUUGGGACGGAGGGAGUACUUU